AUCAGCGAGGUAUGAAGACUCUGUUGAGCUUGACUCCAGUCUGACACAGUGGGGCGACAUGAAAAGGUGUAGCAUAAGUGGGAGCCAGCAAUGGCGCAGUGAAGUACACUACUUUCAGUUUCUUCAUAAUUCAGUAAUGCGGAAUUCAGGUGCUUCGGCAGCUUCACUUCUCGCCUUAAGCCUUUGCUUUCGGCAUUGGCGAUCCGUUCUGAUAACAGGGUCGAGCGGGAAGUUUGACUGGGGCGGUAACAUCUGUCAAACGGUAACGCAGGUGUCCUAAGGCAAGCUCAGCGAAGACAGAAACCUCGCGUAGAGCAAAAGCUUGCUUGAUUAAGAUUUUCAGUACGAAUACAGACCUUGAAAGCGAGGCUUAUCGAUCCUUUUGACUCUAAAGUUUCAGCAAGAGGUGUCAGAAAAGGUACCACAGGGAUAACUGGAGUGUGGGCGGCCAAGCGUUCAUAGCGACGUCGCUUUUUGAUCCUUCGUUGUCGGCUCUUCCUAUCAUUGUGAUGCAGCUAUCGCCCGCUAACAGGGAACAGGAGCUGGUUUAGACCGUCGUGAAACAAAUUAGUUUUUAUCCUACUGAU
rnacentral:ncRNA from 1 species